rnacentral:tRNA from 1 species
AGUGGUAAAGCUCAGUUGGUAGAGUGCUUGCCUUGCAUGCACAAGGCCCUGGGUUCAAUCCCCAGCACCACAC